CCUGUAGUGGGGGAUAGCCCGGCGAAAGCCGGAUUAAUACCGCAUACGAUCUGAGGAUGAAAGCGGGGGACCUUCGGGCCUCGCGCUAUAGGGUUGGCCGAUGGCUGAUUAGCUAGUUGGUGGGGUAAAGGCCUACCAAGGCGACGAUCAGUAGCUGGUCUGAGAGGACGACCAGCCACACUGGGACUGAGACACGGCCCAGACUCCUACGGGAGGCAGCAGUGGGGAAUUUUGGACNNUGGGCGAAAGCCUGAUCCAGCAAUGCCGCGUGUGUGAAGAAGGCCUUCGGGUUGUAAAGCACUUUUGUCCGGAAAGAAAUCCUUGGUUCUAAUAUAGCCGGGGGAUGACGGUACCGGAAGAAUAAGCACCGGCUAACUACGUGCCAGCAGCCGCGGUAAUACGUAGGGUGCAAGCGUUAAUCGGAAUUACUGGGCGUAAAGCGUGCGCAGGCGGUUUGCUAAGACCGAUGUGAAAUCCCCGGGCUCAACCUGGGAACUGCAUUGGUGACUGGCANGCUAGAGUAUGGCAGANGGGGGUAGAAUUCCNCGUGUANCAGUGAAAUGCGUANAGAUGUGGAGGAAUACC
rnacentral:rRNA from 1 species